rnacentral:tRNA from 1 species
GGAGGGUAUAGCUCAGUGGUAGAGUGUGUGCUUAGCAUGCACGAGGUCCUGGGUUCAAUCCCCAGCACCUCCA